CUUGACAGUCGCCAGCGCCCUUUACUUGAGACUGCAAGCUGCUUCUUGAUCAAGCUGAAUGUUUUGGUCUUUCAUCCCAGAUUCUGUCGUCUCUGACACCCGUUGUUAGAAAACUUUCGACUCUAUAAUACUCAAAAUGGAGUUAGGAAGGCGAGACUUGGUGGUGCAGAUCUGGCAAGARGAUUUUUUCGUGAUGAACGAAGAAGAAUAUGAACAUGAAGAAGAAUAUGGAUAAGGAAUCAAAGUUAUGACGUUCAAACGUCACGACAAGAAUCCCAAAAAUGUAAUUACURAAGGAGGAGUUUAUACAAGGGGAAGUAUUGGAUAGACGUGUCAGUCAUCGUGUCAAAUGCACAUUUUAAUGGCCAGUCAUAUUCAUUCCUUCAAGAAUCGUCAUCAGUUUCAUGGAAAUGCRGGAGAAUGGCAGCAUGUUUACGUCGUCAUGCUAUUAAAACGAGGUCUUGAGCGACUCCGAUGAUGGAGCAAGGAGUUCAUCACUUGGAAAUGUCAGACGAGCUUUAAAAAGGAUGAAUCGUCUUCGUCAGGAACCCCAAGACACCUUCUAUAAGAUGUCUUGGAAGAAUGUUGGUGUACAACAGUUAAAUAUUUGUUUCACUCAAGCGCACUUUGUAUCCUUGACCUGGAAUAAAGCCGGCAAAUUGAGAAUGUGAAAAAAGAUUUUGACCAUUUUCAAAAUAAAAAGCCCUCUUCCCUCCAAAAGAAUUUUUCGCUGUCCCUAUCCUAGCAAAACAGAGUAUCUAAUGUCGGUGAAUCGUUAUCUUUUCUGGAAUAUUUUCGUCUCCACAGGAAACCGCCAUUUCAGUAUUGGCCCCAACGAUUUUGUUUUCCUGUCUUACACGUUAUCCGAGUAUUCGCUAACUCUUGAUGUACUCAGGUUUGAGUACAAGCGUACCUCAAACGCUAUACRUCCAAUGCCGGUCGCUUUAAGAUGUCAUCAUUUUGUGUGACGGCUUUUUUGUUCAUGGACAAUCCAGCCACCUGGACAUUUUACUUUUCCCCUUGAACUUGAGGAAAGUCGUUCUAAUUAAUACGUGGCGUAAACCUUUUGGCCCAGCAUUUCCGUACCGACCGAGGAUACUUCACAGCUAAUGAGCGAACCGUUCAAGGACAGUUGUGUCCGGAAGGACUGAAUUCUACAAGACUGCUUCAGUCGGCAUUCGACGCAAGCUCACUUAUCCGACGUACAAGGAAAACCAACUCAAAAGUCAAAGUUCUCUGGUAAUUGCGAUCACAUUAUGAGGCAAAGAUCAUUAAUUCCAGUGUAGUUUCCAUUUUGGUUUUGAGCAGAAUUCAGUUUCUUCCACUAUUCCUACCGACUUCAUUUCUCCAGCACCCCUCUAAUAUUCAACUUGUACAUUAACGUAAUGGUCACUUGAAGAAAUUUUCGGGCUAGUCAUAACUCGUAAAAUCCAAUCUAUAAUAAUGAGUAUAAUGCAUUGUUGCAGUAAUUCUUGGAAUUUCCUGUUAAAUUUGCAUCUCAAUCUUCCACGUCGAAACUAAUUGUCUGCGUAUGCCCUGUUGCGGAAAGUGAAAUACUAAGUAAUAAGUUCUCAACAGGUGCACCAUCUGCUUAGCAACAAAAUACUAGCCGCAAAAUGUUGAAAUUUUCAAAGCUUGUCGACAGCACGAUAUGGCAUGUCUGUGGCAUGGCUUUGGCGAACCGUCUCCACGCUUUGCGCCUCAAACCAUUUGCGUUUUGUUUUAUUUCAUGGGCAAAGCAGAGCCGGUUGUACGAAGUGCAUAGCGCUAUCCGACGCGACGGAUUAAUCCUUAUCUUAAUCCUUAUAAGUCGAUCCAGUAAUAAAAUAUAUUGAUCCAAUGGAUAAGAUUUAUCCGUCGGAUAGCACUAUCCAGCUAUAAGUUCUCUUUCGUAACAGAUUCCUAUAGUUUCUAUGAAACACUUUCCAGUUACGCUAUCUUCAUGAUUAUCCGUGUCCAGAUCAACUUCAUUUGUGUUCGUUGUUUCGCUGCAUAUUAUAUCCAAGACAACAAAAUAAACGUGAGGGGCUUUGCUUCUCGCUACAUAAAGGGUUGUUUUCGUUCACACUUUCGAAAACAGUACCAACAGUGGUGGAUAAAAGAUACCAAAUAAAUCAACCAGAAAAACUACCCCUGAGGGUUAGAUUGUCAAUGGUGUCUUUCGUGUUCAUGUCGAGAAGUYUCCGAUAUCGAGUAAGGGAGGGUACAAGGCUCUUGCUAAUGUUGCUGCAGAUAUUGAUGCAAUCUGAGUAGGGAUCACUGUGACAUGUUUGUUAUGAUAAUUAUAAGUCCUAGCUCGUAUUAAUAAUGACCAAGACUGCGUUAACUUUAUGGAACACGAGGGCCUAACAUCCAGAAUAAAAUGGUAAACCAACAA